UACAUUUUAGUAUAGUAUGUAUAGAAGUUUUUGAUACUUUUGGAAAUAAUUUAUUUUUAUUAAAUGUAA
rnacentral:tRNA from 1 species